AAGUGCUCGGUCCGUGGACUCUGUACCGUCCUUUGCAACAGAAACACGGAAUCUCUGUAACCUGUCAGAGGGACACCAUGAAGCUCUGUCCUCAGCUCUCAGCUCCCAGUCCUCCUGUCUGAGAGAGCUGGACCUGAGUAACUCUGACCUGCAGGAUUCAGGAACAAAUUUUCUUCCUGAUGGACUGAAGAGUCCACACUGUAAACUGAAUAUUCUCAGACUGAGUCACUGUAAGCUCUCAGAGAAAGGCUAUGAAGCUCUGUCCUCAGCUCUCAGCUCCCAGUCCUCUAGUCUGAGACAGCUGGACCUGAGUAACUGUGACCUGCAGGACUCAGGAGUGAAGCUUCUGUCUGUUGGAGUAAAGAGUCCCAACUGUAUACUG